GCUUGCUUUCGCUGACGACCGGCGCACGGGUGCGUAACGCGUAUACAAUCUGCCUCUUACUGGAGUAUACCCCAGAGAAAUUUGGAAUAAUCCUCCAUAAUAUUGUUUUCAGGCAUCUUUAGAUAAUUAAAGCUUCGGCGGUAAGAGAUGAGUAUGCGUCCUAUUAGCUAGAUGGUAAGGUAACGGCUUACCAUGGCAACGAUAGGUAGGGGUCCUGAGAGGGAGAUCCCCCACACUGGUACUGAGACACGGACCAGACUCCUACGGGAGGCAGCAGUGAGGAAUAUUGGGCAAUGGACGGAAGUCUGACCCAGCCAUGCCGCGUGCAGGAUGACUGCCCUAUGGGUUGUAAACUGCUUUUAUACAGGAAGAAACCAUUCCUCGUGAGGAAUCUUGACGGUACUGUAUGAAUAAGCACCGGCUAACUCCGUGCCAGCAGCCGCGGUAAUACGGAGGGUGCAAGCGUUAUCCGGAAUCAUUGGGUUUAAAGGGUCCGUAGGCGGAUAAUUAAGUCAGAGGUGAAAUCCCGCAGCUUAACUGUGGAACUGCCUUUGAUACUGGUUAUCUUGAGUGACAUUGAAGUAGAUGGAAUGUGUAGUGUAGCGGUGAAAUGCUUAGAUAUUACACAGAACACCGAUUGCGAAGGCAGUCUACUAAGUGUUUACUGACGCUGAUGGACGAAAGCGUGGGGAG
rnacentral:rRNA from 1 species